GAGAGUAUAGCUCAGUGGUAGAGUGCGUGCUUAGCAUGCACAAGGUCCUGGGUUCAAUCCCCAGUACCUCCA
rnacentral:tRNA from 1 species